rnacentral:rRNA from 1 species
AACUACCAUGUUACGACUUGCCUCCCCUUUUUCCUUCAAAGGUUUAUAUAUGGUUUUUAACUCGGAGUUGGGGAGAGUGACGGGUGGUGUGUGCGCGUUUCAGGGCCAGUUUUAGUAGAACACUCUAUUUCUGCUUACUGCUAAAUCCUCCUUCUAACGUACCUUUCAUUAUGUUAUCCGUUUUCCUUGAAACAAGGAAUGUAGCCAUUUCUUCCCCUCUCAUAUGACUACACCUCGCACCUGACGUUUUGAGUAUAACUGGUUGUGCCUUACUAUUAGACCUUCACAGGGUAAGCCUGACCGACGGCGGUAUAUAGGCGGAAAAAACAAGAGAGGGUGAGGUUUAACGGGGGUUAUCGGUUCUAGAACAGGCUCCUCUAGGUGGGUCUAAAGCAACCGCCAAGUCCUUUGGGUUUUAAGCUGAUGCUCGUAGUACCCAGGCGGAUGAUAAUGUAUAGUUCAUCAAAGUUUACAGCUAUGCAUAGUGGGGUAUCUAAUCCCAGUUUGUUUCAUAGUUUUCGUGGGUUCAUAGGGUUAAAGUCACUUUCGUUUCUGGUCUUCUAAUUUUCGAGUGCGUAUUAACAGCUUUGAAAACAUUCGACUUUUAGUUUUAUUCUUAUUAACCACGCUUUACGCCGUAGUCUAUCAGCUCGAACCGCUCGUAUAACCGCGGUGG